rnacentral:rRNA from 1 species
AUUGAACGCUGGCGGCAGGCCUAACACAUGCAAGUCGAACGGUAACAGGAAGAAGCUUGCUUCUUUGCUGACGAGUGGCGGACGGGUGAGUAAUGUCUGGGAAACUGCCUGAUGGAGGGGGAUAACUACUGGAAACGGUAGCUAAUACCGCAUAACGUCGCAAGACCAAAGAGGGGGGACCUUCGGGCCUCUUGCCAUCGGAUGUGCCCAGAUGGGAUUAGCUAGUAGGUGGGGUAACGGCUCACCUAGGCGACGAUCCCUAGCUGGUCUGAGAGGAUGACCAGCCACACUGGAACUGAGACACGGUCCAGACUCCUACGGGAGGCAGCAGUGGGGAAUAUUGCACAAUGGGCGCAAGCCUGAUGCAGCCAUGCCGCGUGUAUGAAGAAGGCCUUCGGGUUGUAAAGU